GUCCCUGUAGCGCAAUGGAUAGCGUGUUGGAUUUCUAAUCCAAAGGUCGAUUCCUACCUGGGAUG